rnacentral:sRNA from 1 species
AGAGAAUGGAAAGAUUCUUAAAACAAACUUUUGUGUUAAAUCAUAAAGAAAGAUUUUCAGCAGGAAAACUUAUUGAAGAAUUUUUCGCUAUAGAAUCUCAAACAGAAGACGCACAUUGCAAUAUUGGUCAAACCCAGGAAGUGUUUUUCUCUGAAGCCAAAGAAAUAACGCGGGGC